GAUGAAGAACGUAGUGAAAUGCGAUAAGUAAUGUGAAUUGCAGAAUUCAGUGAAUCAUCGAAUCUUUGAACGCACAUUGCGCCCGCCAGUAUUCUGGCGGGCAUGCCUGUUCGAGCGUCAUUACAACCCUCAGGCCCCCGGGCCUGGCGUUGGGGAUCGGCGGAAGCCCCCUGCGGGCACAACGCCGUCCCCCAAAUACAGUGGCGGUCCCGCCGCAGCUUCCAUUGCGUAGUAGCUAACACCUCGCAACUGGAGAGCGGCGCGGCCACGCCAUAAAACACCCAACUUCUGAAUGUUGACCUCGAAUCAGGUAGGAAUACCCGCUGAACUUAAGCAUAUCAAUAAGCGGAGGA
rnacentral:misc_RNA from 1 species